AAUAGAUACCCGGGUAGUCCACGCCGUAAAACGAUGUCGACUUGGAGGUUGUGCCCUUGAGGCGUGGCUUCCGGAGCUAACGCGUUAAGUCGACCGCCUGGGGAGUACGGCCGCAAGGUUAAAACUCAAAUGAAUUGACGGGGGCCCGCACAAGCGGUGGAGCAUGUGGUUUAAUUCGAUGCAACGCGAAGAACCUUACCUACUCUUGACAUCCAGGGAACUUAGCAGAGAUGCUUUGGUGCCUUCGGGAACUCUGAGACAGGUGCUGCAUGGCUGUCGUCAGCUCGUGUUGUGAAAUGUUGGGUUAAGUCCCGCAACGAGCGCAACCCUUAUCCUUGUUGCCAGCGAUUCGGUCGGGAACUCAAAGGAGACUGCCAGUGAUAAACUGGAGGAAGGUGGGGAUGACGUCAAGUCAUCAUGGCCCUUACGAGUAGGGCUACACACGUGCUACAAUGGCAUAUACAAAGAGAAGCGACCUCGCGAGAGCAAGCGGACCUCAUAAAGUAUGUCGUAGUCCGGAUUGGAGU
rnacentral:rRNA from 1 species